GAACACUGGUUUCUCUUCAUAUUGCUUAAACUUUCACUUUUUACUAAAGAUUUCUGUAGAGGAACAACUCUGUGCCUUAAACCAAUUAUUUUGAGACCUUGCAUUUGCAAGAC